CCAAAGCUCAGCUGUGACAGGAAGCACUGUGUGUGCAUGGUGGCAACUUGGUUGGAGGGGGGUGGAGAAUGCAUAGAGUGGAAGAGGAAAAAGAGGACCCCCUCAGGAAGGAUGUGGUGAGAUGGUGCAACUGAAAAAAUUCCAUGUGAAGGAGAUGACAAAUUCUACAUUGUCAUUGUCUACGAGAGCAUCCAUUUGUCUGGGCCAAAGAUUACACGUUUGUGUUGGAGUGCUAUACAUGCCCCUUUCUGAGUUCAAAAACAUUUUUAAAACUAAAGAGGACUGUUGGUUCCUUCCCUAAAAUUAUAGCUUUCAUUUGGCUCAUGAAUCCACUGUUUGUUUGACUCAGGAUCCAAACGCUGCCCAUACAUCUCUGUA